UACGUAGGGGGCUAGCGUUGUCCGGAAUCAUUGGGCGUAAAGAGCGUGUAGGCUGCUCGGUAAGUCCGCUGUAAAAGUCAAAGGCUCAACCUUUGAAUGUCAGUGGAUACUGCCGGGCUAGAGUCCGGAAGAGGCGAGUGGAACUCCUGGUGUAGCGGUGGAAUGCGCAGAUAUCGGGAGGAACACCGGUGGCGAAGGCGGUUCUCUGGGCCUUACCUGACGCUGAGGAGCGAAAGCGUGGGGAGCGAACAGG
rnacentral:rRNA from 1 species